rnacentral:lncRNA from 1 species
UUUGAGACGGAGUCUCAUUCUGUCACCCAGGCUGGAGUGCAGUAGUGCGAUCUCAGCUCACUGCAGCCAGCCUCCGUCUCCUGGGUUCCAGCAAUUCUCCUGCCUCAGCCUCCUGGGUAGCUGGGAUUACAGCACACUUACCCAUUGAUCCUCCUAUCAUCAAUAAGAAUCCGUUGAGAACAUCUUCCAGUACAGAGAGGAACCAACAUCUGGUUAAUUCAAACACAACCCCUGGGAUCAG